AUGCUUAUUUGCAAGCAACUGGGCAAGGUUUGGGGUGCUGGACCUGGAGGAGGGGCUCAGGAAAGCUUAUUUGCUCCACAAAGCUUAUUCGCAAGCAACUGGGUGAGGUGCUGGACCUGGAGGAGGGGCUCAAGAGGGGCUCAGGGCAGGCGCUUGGAGCUCCCCGGAGGACGGGAUGUAGGCAGUGCGGAAACAGGAGAACGAAGCAAGAGGAGGUCCCUGGAUGCUCUGCUGCCCACUCACGCAGUAGCCAGAACCGUUGCCAAGCACCAAGGAAGGUUCUGGAAACUGGGUGUGUGACCUCCAGGGACUUGAACUUGUCUGCCUUAGGCUUGGCCACAGGUUCUGCUCUUCUGGGCUUUGUGGGGGAGCGGGGAGGAGGAAGUGCCGGGAGAGGCGCUCCGUCAGGCAGCACUGUGGCUUUUCCAUGUUGCAGGAGUGACAAGUGGUGUGCAGCCUUGGGCCCAGGGUCCCAGCGGGGGGACAACUUGUGAGGCUGAGGUGUGGAGGUGGAACAGGCUUUCGGCAGGUGGAGGAAGGGGGAGGCAGCCCAGGGGAGGGCUGUGGCCAGGGUCCCCGCGUCCUUGUCCCAGCUCUGCUGGGAUCCUCUGUCUCCCCAUUCACAGCUCUCUUUGUGCUGCUUCUCCUGGAUACCUGAGGAAUAAAAUUAGCAGAAGACUCCUGAUUCAAGAUUGGGCCAGGAGCUCUGUCAGGGAUGCCAGAGCACCACUACAAUGUCAGCAGACAGGCGGGGUGGCUUCUAAUGAAAGCGGCCUGGGGAGAUGUGUUGAAGAAAUACUUAGGCAAGCAUCUCGGGCUGCAAAGGUUAGGACGGAUGGGAAGAGGGUGGGAUGAACCCCUUCUCGCUCCAAGGGCCACUGUUCAGUGACAGGUGACCCCAAGCCAGCCUGCUACAAUCCUGUGUGCACUUGGCUGUCUGCGGCACCUGGGCUUUAAUAAAUCAGAACAAAUCUUUAAUGAUCAGGUUUAGAGGGUACUCACGGGCUAAGCUGAGGAGGGCCUGUGUGCUUGGCUCUGACCUCACAAACCAGCUGGCUGUGACCUCCUUGUGAGGUUUCCUGCGUCCUUGCUGAGUGAGGGUGGGCAGGCCCUUGGGGUCUUAUCCUGUGGCUGUGGUGUCACGUGAGUCUCUCCAGCAGAUAGCAGUGGCUUUCCUAUUGAGACUGACCCACCUUGCUCUUUGCACAGAUCCCACCCCAUGACAGAUCAGUGGGUCAGGCUGCAGCAGGGACUAAGGGGGCGAAUGCCACAGAAGCUCUCCGGAAGGCCUCCACCUCCAGAGGAUGGUCUUAGAAGCUGGUUCAUUAAUGACCACAUAGUCAUGACUGCUGCCUGCAAGGUCCUGCUCCAGGGACGGUGAAAGACCUGGAGUCUCCACAUUGGUGCAAGUGCAGCCUCGUGUUAGUCACGCGGCAGGGGAGUAUAAGCCAGAAUCCUGUUGGGGCAUUUCCAAACUCUCAGUUGGGCGCAGUCAGGCUCACAUAUGGGGCCCAGGCCUUGGUGGCAUGGAGGGGUUUAGCGAGCAUCUGUGCCAGUGCCCUUGGUGGGAAGCUGCGCGGGAACCGUGGAAGAGGAGGCCGGGCGGACCACAGCUAGGAGGCACGGGAGAGCUACACCAUCCGCACCUAGGGCAACUCAAUGUGCUCUGAGAGCGUAGCCAAGGAAGGAAGGUUAAUGUUGAUACGAAUGCAACCUGGGGCAAGGCAGGUCCAGUGUGCCCCGUGGCAUGGCCCCACAGAGCACAAGGGCAGUGACAGCUGUCCUCCCUCCCCUCUGCGAUAACGCUUCAAGGCUCCUGGCCUGGCUCCUGCCCAUCGGGUUAGAGGCAGCACAAGGAGUAAGGCCUGUAUGUGAGUGACUGUGGCACAGGACUGCAUGUGACACAUAGUACCGAGAGGGCCAAGCAGGGUGCCAGGGCCACCCAGAGAGUGCCCUUCUGACUUGUAGGAUGGGGCGGCAUCCUGCAGGGCCCGGCCUUUCAACUUGAGCUUGGAGCCCGGGGACAAGGACUAGCGGUCUAGGC
rnacentral:lncRNA from 1 species